rnacentral:rRNA from 1 species
UUCGCCCUUAGAGUUUGAUCCUGGCUCAGGACGAACGCUGGCGGCGUGCCUAACACAUGCAAGUCGAGCGAAUGAAGUUCCUUCGGGAACGGAUUUAGCGGCGGACGGGUGAGUAACACGUGGGCAACCUGCCUCAUAGAGGGGAAUAGCCUUCCGAAAGGGAGAUUAAUACCGCAUAAGGUUGUAGUACCGCAUGGUACAGCAAUUAAAGGAGUAAUCCGCUAUGAGAUGGGCCCGCGGCGCAUUAGCUAGUUGGUGAGGUAACGGCUCACCGAGGCGACGAUGCGUAGCCGACCUGAGAGGGUGAUCGGCCACAUUGGGACUGAGACACGGCCCAGACUCCUACGGGAGGCAGCAGUGGGGAAUAUUGGGCAAUGGGCGAAAGCCUGACCCAGCGACGCCGCGUGAAGGACGAAGGCCUUCGGGUUGUAAACUUCUUUGGGGAGGGACGAAAAUGACGGUACCUCCAGAACAAGCCACGGCUAACUACGUGCCAGCAGCCGCGGUAAUACGUAGGUGGCAAGCGUUAUCCGGAUUUACUGGGUGUAAAGGGCGCGCAGGCGGCCCCAAAAGUCAGAUGUGAAAGAUCAAGGCUUAACUUUGACAUGUCAUCUGAAACUUUGGGACUUGAGUAUCAGAGGGGAAAGCGGAAUUCCUGGUGGAGCGGUAAAAUGCGCAGAGAUCAGGAGGAACACCGGUGGCGAAGGCGGCUUUCUGGCUGACAACCGACGCUGAGGCGCGAAAGCGUGGGGAGCAAACAGGAUUAGAUACCCUGGUAGUCCACGCCGUAAACGAUGAUUGUUGGGUGUAGGGGGGGUUGAUUCCCUCUGUUCCGAAGAUAAACGCGAUAAGUAAUUCACCUGGGGGGGGCGGCCGCAAAGGCUAAAACUCAAAAGGAAAGAACGGGGGCCCGCACACGCAGUGGAGUAUGUGGGUUUAAUUCGAGGCAACGCGAAGAACCUUACCAGGGUUUGACAUCCCGCGCUCGGGGUAGAGAUACCCUUUUCCCUUCUGGGACGCGGAGACAGGUGGUGCAUGGUUGUCGUCAGCUCGUGUCGUGAGAUGUUCGGUUAAGUCCGGCAACGAGCGCAACCCUCGUUGUCAGUUGCCAUCAUUUGGUUGGGCACUCUGGCGAGACUGCCGUUGACAAAACGGAGGAAGGUGGGGAGGACGUCAAAUCAUCAUGCCCCUUAUGUCUUGGGGUACACACGUACUACAAUGGGCGUUACAACGGGCAGCGAAACCGCGAGGUGGAGGGAAUCCCCAAAGGCGCCCUCAGUUCGGAUUGCAGGCUGAAACUCGCCUGCAUGAAGCCGGAAUUGCUAGUAAUGGCAGGUCAGCAUACUGCCGUGAAUACGUUCCCGGGCCUUGUACACACCGCCCGUCA